CCUACGGGUGGCAGCAGUGGGGGAUAUUGCACAAUGGGGGGAACCCUGAUGCAGCGACGCCGCGUGGGUGAAGAAGCGCCUCGGCGCGUAAAGCCCUGUCAGCAGGGAAGAAAAUGACGGUACCUGAAGAAGAAGCCCCGGCUAACUACGUGCCAGCAGCCGCGGUAAUACGUAGGGGGCAAGCGUUAUCCGGAUUUACUGGGUGUAAAGGGGGCGCAGACGGCGAUGCAAGCCAGGAGUGAAAGGCAGGGGCUUAACCCCUGAACUGCUUUGGAAACUGCCAUGCUAGAGUGCUGGAGAGGUAAGUGGAAUUCCUAGUGUAGCGGUGAAAUGCGUAGAUAUUAGGAGGAACACCAGUGGCGAAGGCGGCUUACUGGACAGUAACUGACGUUGAGGCUCGAAAGCGUGGGGAGCAAACAGGAUUAGAUACCCCUGUAGUC
rnacentral:rRNA from 1 species